rnacentral:rRNA from 1 species
UUUUUAUUUUAUUUGUGUUGCUUUUUUUGUUUUUUUGCAUUUAAAACAGAUAUAUAUUUGGCUUAUAAAUUUAUUUUUCAUGUGUUACUAUUAUUAAUUUUUUUUGGAUUUGUUUUUU